rnacentral:snRNA from 1 species
UUGCUUCAGGAACACAGGUAAUAACAUUGGAACGACACAGGUAAGAUUAGCAUGGCCCUUGUACAAGCAGAGUGUACAAGUUUGUGAAGUGGUAUGGCUCAGU